rnacentral:rRNA from 1 species
UACGAAGGGGGCGAGCGUUGUUCGGAAUUACUGGGCGUAAAGGGCGCGUAGGCGGCCCUCUUUGUCGCGUGUGAAAGCCCCGGGCUCAACCUGGGAACGGCGGGCGAAACGGGGGGGCUGGAGUUCGGGAGAGGAGCGUGGAAUUCCCAGUGUAGAGGUGAAAUUCGUAGAUAUUGGGAAGAACACCGGUGGCGAAGGCGGCGCUCUGGACCGAGACUGACGCUGAGGCGCGAAAGCGUGGGGAGCAAACAGG